UAGGGAAUAUUGCACAAUGGACGAAAGUCUGAUGCAGCGACGCCGCGUGAGUGACGAAGGCCUUCGGGUUGUAAAGCUCUGUUCUCAGGGAAAAAGAAAGUGAUUGUACCUGAGAAGAAAGGACCGGCUAACUUCGUGCCAGCAGCCGCGGUAAGACGAGGGGUCCAAGCGUUGUUCGGAAUCAUUGGGCGUAAAGCGGGUGUAGGCGGCUCUAUAAGUCAGGAGUGAAAGCCCCGAGCUUAACUUGGGAAGUGCUUUUGAUACUGCAGAGCUUGAAUGUGGGAGAGGGUAGUGGAAUUCCAGGUGUAGUGGUGAAAUACGUAGAUAUCUGGAGGAACACCGGUGGCGAAGGCGGCUACCUGGCCCAACAUUGACGCUGAGACCCGAAAGCGUGGGGAUCAAACAGGAUUAGAUACCCCGGUAGUCC
rnacentral:rRNA from 1 species